rnacentral:rRNA from 1 species
CAGCCGCCGCGGUAAUACGUAGGGUGCGAGCGUUAAUCGGAAUUACUGGGCGUAAAGCGUGCGCAGACGGUUUUGUAAGACAGGCGUGAAAUCCCCGGGCUCAACCUGGGAAUGGCGCUUGUGACUGCAAAGCUAGAGUGCGGCAGAGGGGGAUGGAAUUCCGCGUGUAGCAGUGAAAUGCGUAGAUAUGCGGAGGAACACCGAUGGCGAAGGCAAUCCCCUGGGCCUGCACUGACGCUCAUGCACGAAAGCGUGGGGAGCAAACAGGAUUAGAUACCCCUGUAGUCCCUGUCUCUUAUAC